rnacentral:sRNA from 1 species
UCGAGCGGAACGCCCAAUCCUGCCGCCGCUCGGUAAACCUCCCUUUUCACCCGACGGCAGGAGCGGGGGACCCACGAAUACGCCGGUCCGGAAUCCGGAACGGCUCGGGGUGCAGCCGCGUGCGCGCGGCCGGACAUCUCCCGUCCGAACCCGACAGCUCACCCCGCAGGCGCCGGAGAGGAAAC